UACGGGGGGGGCAAGCGUUGUUCGGAAUUACUGGGCGUAAAGGGCUCGUAGGCGGCCAACUAAGUCAGACGUGAAAUCCCUCGGCUUAACCGGGGAACUGCAUCUGAUACUGGAUGGCUUGAGUUCGGGAGAGGGAUGUGGAAUUCCAGGUGUAGCGGUGAAAUGCGUAGAUAUCAGGAGGAACACCGGUGGCGAAGGCGGGAUCCUGGGCCAGUACUGACGCUGAGGAGCGAAAGCGUGGGGAGCAAACAGG
rnacentral:rRNA from 1 species